rnacentral:lncRNA from 1 species
AUGCCACUCAGGACAGGACAAUGGCUGCUAGUGGGAAUACGAGCCUCGGUGGCCCAGGGCCAGUCACUUCACUUCUGCAAGCUUCCAUUUCCUCAUCUGCAGCACAGGGGAACAAAAAUAGCUGCUCCACCCGGCGGCCGUGGGAGUCGGAAAGAAAAGCCGCGUGUGCCCCCAGCGCUGCGACCUGCAGCGCAGCCAGGGAAAGUCUUCUCCCUGCUGUCAAUGCGUCCAGCACGUGCUCACCCUGCGCCACGGGCACCCAGUUACAUCUGGGCAGUCGCGUCCGAGGACGCCAUCUCCUCUCUCUCCUGGAUCUGCUGGGGUGACCGCCUUCUCAGGAGCUACACGGUCCCGAGUGAGCCGUGGAGGAGGCGGAGAAUGGCACCAUGCAGAGGGGUUGAGGGCGGGGCUGUCCUCCACUCCUGGAAGGACCAAGGCCAAGGCACCUCUGGGAGCUGGAUUUCAACUCCUGUGCCUCCUGCUCCUGACGCGCGCACAGGUUGCAAACUCAAGCACACGCUGGGGCCAGGCAGAGGGUGUCAGGGAGGUCUCCUAGGCAGCAGUAAGAAGACAGUCCAUGGAGUCCAGCGGCCCCAGGUAGCACAGCCAGGCGCAGGCCCAGGCCCAGGAAGGCGACUCCUUUCUAUUUAUCUAGAGAAACCGAGUUCUGGAGUUCUGGUUUUAAAGCGGUCUGUGCAGUUCAGAACAACUCCAUACUGUAUGGGGCCGCAGUCCCGUUGCUCUAUGCAGAGCUCUGCCACAGUCUGUGCCUACACCCUCCCCCCUUCUCCCAGGGGCCCUCAAUCCCCACCCAUCAAUCCAUGGCUCCCUCCUGCCCACCAGCGUCUGGAAGCUGAGAGACCCUACCCAGCAUGGCAUCCGGCGUGGAAGACGUUUCUCGAUGAGCAAACCCAGAUUCCCCACCUGCUGCCUAUGACCCACCUCCCUUCCCGCCUGUCUCGCAGGCCUCCUGUAACACACCAGCUCCAGCCCGGUCGAUUUUAUUCUCUGAGCCAAACCCCGUGGGCCUGCAUUGGUCACCAGUCUUUGCUUUGGCUGGGCUCGCUGCCUAUGGCUGCCUUCUCUCUUGCCCAUCAACCCUUCAAACCUUAG